rnacentral:rRNA from 1 species
CGGGGUGCACCAGGCGCGAAACCUCUGCAAUAGGCGAAAGCCUGACAGGGUUACUCUGAGUGAUUCCCGCUAAGGGGAUCUUUUGGCACCUCUAAAAAUGGUGCAGAAUAAGGGGUGGGCAAGCCUGGCGUCAGCCGCCGCGGUAAUACCAGCACCCCGAGUGGUCGGGACGAUUAUUGGGCCUAAAGCAUCCGUAGCCGGCCACGCAAGUCCUCCGUUAAAUCCACCCGCUCAACGGUUGGGCUGCGGAGGAUACUACGUGGCUAGGAGGCGGGAGAGGCAAGCGGUACUCAAUGGGUAGGGGUAAAAUCCUUUGAUCCAUUGAAGACCACCAGUGGCGAAGGCGGCUUGCCAGAACGCGCUCGACGGUGAGGGAUGAAAGCUGGGGGAGCAAACCGGAUUAGAUACCCGGGUAGUCCCAGCUGUAAACGAUGCAGACUCGGUGAUGGGAUGGCCUCGAGCCAUCCCAGUGCCGCAGGGAAGCCGUUAAGUCUGCCGCCUGGGGAGUACGGUCGCAAGACUGAAACUUAAAGGAAUUGGCGG